AGAACGAACGCUGGCGGCAGGCUUAACACAUGCAAGUCGAGCGCCCCGCAAGGGGAGCGGCAGACGGGUGAGUAACGCGUGGGAACAUACCCUCCGGUUCGGAAUAGCUCAGGGAAACUUGGAUUAAUACCGGAUACGGCCUAGCGGCGAAAGAUUCAUCGCCGGAGGAUUGGCCCGCGUUCGAUUAGCUAGUUGGUGAGGUAACGGCUCACCAAGGCGACGAUCGAUAGCUGGUCUGAGAGGAUGAUCAGCCACAUUGGGACUGAGACACGGCCCAAACUCCUACGGGAGGCAGCAGUGGGGAAUAUUGGACAAUGGGCGCAAGCCUGAUCCAGCCAUGCCGCGUGAGUGAUGACGGCCUUAGGGUUGUAAAGCUCUUUCGCUAGGGACGAUAAUGACGGUACCUGCAGAAAAGCACCGGCUAACUACGCGCCAGCAGCCGC
rnacentral:rRNA from 1 species